rnacentral:rRNA from 1 species
UACAUGUGGGGGCAAGCGUUGUUCGGAAUUACUGGGCAUAAAGGGUGCGUAGGCGGCUUGUUAAGUCACUGGUGAAAGUUUUCGGCCCCAACCGGAAAAUUGCCUGUGAUACUAGCGAGCUUGAGUGCGUGAGGGGUGGGGGGGAACGGAGCAGUGUAGCGGUGAAAUGCGUAGAUAUUGCUCGGAAGGCCGGAGCCGAAGGGGCCCCCACUGGUACGCAACUGACGCUGAGGCACGAAAGCGUGGGGAGCAAACAGG